rnacentral:rRNA from 1 species
CCUACGGGAGGCAGCAGUGAGGAAUAUUGGUCAAUGGGCUUACGCCUGAACCAGCCAAGUCGCGUGAGGGAAGACUGCCCUAUGGGUUGUAAACCUCUUUUGUCAGGGAGCAACGCCGGCUACGUGUAGCCGGACUGAGAGUACCUGAAGAAAAAGCAUCGGCUAACUCCGUGCCAGCAGCCGCGGUAAUACGGAGGAUGCGAGCGUUAUCCGGAUUUAUUGGGUGUAAGGGGUGCGUAGGCGGAAUGCCAAGUCAGCGGUAAAACCGCGGGGCUCAACCGCGCUCCGCCGUUGAAACUGGUGUUCUAGAGUGGGCGAGAGGUAUGCGGAAGGCGUGGUGUAGCGGUGAAAUGCAUAGAUAUCACGAAGAACUCCGAUUGCGAAGGCAGCAUACCGGCGCCCAACUGACGCUGAGGCGCGAAAGCGUGGGUAUCGAACAGGAUUAGAUACCCCUGUAGUC